GUUUUACCUGUCCUCACAGAAAGCUACCACUACUGCUGAGGUUGUUUUCUCUCUUCCAGUCUCUUUCCAUGAUUACCUGCAGAGAUCAAGUGUCCUACAGAAAAUCAGUGCAGAUGCUAUAGAGCUAUCAGAUGGCAGUGAUUUCCCAGCUGAUUGCAAUAUAGCCUUUUUAGCUCCUUGAGUCACUUCACAGAGGUUUAGGAAGAAGGGAGUUCCCUGCAGCACAGGAUAUUGUCAUUAUGCAGCACAAUCAGGCACUGUGAUGAAAUGCUCUUUUUUCAACAACAGGGUUCCCACAAAGCUCUGAGAAGACACAGAGGCUUGUGAGACUGAUGGGGCUGGCAGAUCUGCUCUUGGAUUUCUCUAAUUCAGGUCUCCUGAGUUCUCUGAACAAAUGCCAUAGUGCAGAUGACAAAUGGACCUUGUUCACUACUCAGUCAGCAGGUUCACUCAUGAAUGAAAAGUGAGUUUGAUUCUCGAGCAGUUGGUCCAGAUGCUGUGGCUGACACUGGCUCUCCCUCCUGCUCCUGACACAGGCCACAACAGAGCACUUCUGUCUGCAAAGCAACAUCAGUAUGUCAAGAAAAAUCAAUGAAAGCAAGGGGAAAAAAUGCCUCUGGCUCUGUCGGCUUUUAAAGCAUAGCUGCACUUUGGAGCUUGGAAAAAGCACGAGGCUGAGGAAAGUCCCAGGAGAGCAGAGGAACUUUGGAGUCACCUUUGGAGGAGUCUCAGGUCUCCUCCUCUCUCUCUCGCCAUUUUUGCUGACAUUAACUAAGGGAAUGAGUACAAGAGAAGAAUACUCAAUGGUGCUAAUGCAAUAAGGAAGCUACCGUGCAAGCCCUGGGCCACAGAGACAGUGCACAAUGCUUGCAUUACCACUUCAAGAAGAUUUUUCAAAUCAUAGACCUUGAAAUCUACUAUUUGCAAAUGAAAUUGUUCUUCACCAUCCUGGGAAUAAGGGUCAAGAAAAAAGCUAAUGAUGGCCUUACAAAUUUUGCACACAAAAUAAGCAUCCCUUAUGUGCAAAGCUGUUCUCAAGAGAUCAUUUCAUUAACAGCUGCAGAGUCUGAAUUUUUUGGUCCUGAUAUUUAGAUGGGAAUCCAAAAAGCCACCAUGAAUUACACAGACAUCUCAGGCUUAGUUAUUCUCAGUGAAUCCCAGCUGCCCUCAGGGGCUAUUUGGAGUGUGCCUUGCUGAAGUACUCCGCAUAUUGUCCCUGCCAUUUCCAAUCCCACAUCACCACACUUCUCUGUCAAAGGCCAGGUGAACUGGGAGACCAUUCACUCCUACAGAGCUGUGGCUUCAGUUUCAGCCAGCACAGGAGAAAGGGGGUUCUGAGCAGAAACUCCUGGUGUAAUUCACUAGGAACUAUGUUCAGCUCUGGGGUCCUGGCCUGAAAGGGCCUUCCCACCUGCUUUGUACACACUGUAAUGUUUCAGACCCACUGCUCAGGUAUGACACGGGUGUUUGUGGGUCUGCAUUGCAGCAUGGCAAGACUAGCACCCCUGUAUGCAGAAACUACAAGUGGAGUACCAAGAACAGAGUCUUGGGAAGGCUUAAAAUGGCUCUGCCGUGGAAAUGGGCUGCCAGAAACCCUCUGAGAAAAGAUGUUCAGUGGAAGAGAGGUUUUCUCAGUGAAAAUCGAAACUCAGUUUCCUACUGAAACAAAACACCCCAAACAUGCCUUGCUACUUGAACACCAGUCUCACUCCAUUGCCUUUCCAGCAGCUCUACUGGCAUCCUUCCCCUCAGAAUUAGCUCUAGCAGAGCUACCUUGCUAACUCUAAAAGUAAAACUGAAGAUAUUGUAAUGUGGGACUAG
rnacentral:lncRNA from 1 species